rnacentral:rRNA from 1 species
GACGAACGCUGGCGGCGUGCUUAACACAUGCAAGUCGAGCGGUAAGGCCCUUUCGGGGGUACGACGAGCGGCGAACGGGUGAGUAACACGUGGGUGACCUGCCCUCCAGCUCUGGGAUAAGCCUGGGAAACCGGGGUACUAAUACUGGAUAUGACUCCAUGACGCAUGUUGUGGGGUGGGAAAGCCUUGUGCGGCUGAGGAUGGGCCCGCGGCCUAUCAGCUUGUUGGUGGGGUGAGGCCUACCAAGGCGACGACGGGUA